AGUGAACGCUGGCGGUAGGCCUAACACAUGCAAGUCGAACGGCAGCACAGUAAGAGCGUGCCCUUACGGGUGGCGAGUGGCGGGCGGGUGAGGAAUACAUCGGGACCUACUUUUUCGGGGGACAUAACGAAGGGGAGCUUACGAUAAUACCGCAUACGCCCCACGGGGGAAAGCAGGGGAACGUCGGGCCGUGCGGGGUUGGAUGCGCCGAUGUCGGGUUAGCUAGUUGGCGGGGUAAAGGCCCAGCAAGGCGAGGAUCCGUGGCUCGACUGAGAGGAUGAUCGCCCACAUUGGAACUGGGACACGGUCCAGACUCCUACGGGAGGGAGCAGUCGGGUAUGUUGGGCAGUGGGGGCAAACCUGGUCCAGCCAUCCCGAGUGGGUUACGGAGGCCUUCGGGUUGUAAAGACGUUUUGUUGGGAAAGAACAGCUGCAGGUUGAUACCCAGCUGUUCUGACGGUACCGAAAGAAUAAGCACCGGCUAACUUCGUG
rnacentral:rRNA from 1 species